UUGCUGAGCCAUCUCUUCACUCCCAGAAUGGCUGGGCAGUCUGGUAUGCUGUGCAUACUGAAGAGCCCGGGAACCCAGGUGCUGCUUAGUCUACGAGGCUGGAUGUUACAGCUGUUCUGACUUGGUGCCAAAGGGCUGAAAGACUCCUGGAGAGCCGCUGGUCUUUGUGCUGUUCAUCUAGAUCUCAGCUGCACAGAGCAUCUAGCCCACACUCCACAACACUAUUUGGAAAGACCACAACAUGGUAUUUUGCAACUCCUGUUGAUGGAUGCAUGUGCUGCUUCAAGUCCUUUGUAAUAAGAGAGAAAAUCUUGGCGUCUUCUUCACAUGGACGUGGAAAUCACAGCAUCAUCUACAUGGUAAGUUCCAGAAACAGCCUUGUGAGAUCAAAGAAUACAUCUUUGUUAAAGCCCCCCAGUGUUUUCCCCACUCAUCCCCUACCGGGGUGCGUGUCCUCUUGUAUCGUGGACACACAGCAGGCUUGUGUGAGUUCUGUUACGCUCUGAGCCCCACGUUGUUGGACCAGGUUCUAUGAGUGAAUGUAACUUGGAGGGUACA